AGAGUUUGAUCCUGGCUCAGAUUGAACGCUGGCGGCAGGCUUAACACAUGCAAGUCGAGCGGUAACAGAGAUAGCUUGCUAUCUGCUGACGAGCGGCGGACGGGUGAGUAAUGCUUGGGAAUAUGCCUUAUGGUGGGGGACAACAGUUGGAAACGACUGCUAAUACCGCAUAACGUCUACGGACCAAAGGGGGGGAUCUUCGGACCUCUCGCCAUUUGAUUAGCCCAAGUGAGAUUAGCUAGUUGGUAAGGUAAUGGCUUACCAAGGCGACGAUCUCUAGCUGGUUUGAGAGGAUGAUCAGCCACACUGGGACUGAGACACGGCCCAGACUCCUACGGGAGGCAGCAGUGGGGAAUAUUGCACAAUGGGCGAAAGCCUGAUGCAGCCAUGCCGCGUGUGUGAAGAAGGCCUUCGGGUUGUAAAGCACUUUCAGUUGUGAGGAAAGGGGUGUAGUUAAUAGCUGCAUCCUGUGACGUUAACAACAGAAGAAGCAC
rnacentral:rRNA from 1 species